CGCUUCUCUCUUCUUCUCUUCCCUUCUCUUCUCUUUCUUACCAUUCUUCUCUAUUCUUUCUCGGGGAACAUCUGGAGAUUUAGCUUUAGACAGAAUUCAACAAUUCAGUUGUAAUUGCCAAUUCUUUGAUAGUUCAUAGCAAAAUUACCUAUUUCUUGCCAAUUCCCAAUUGUUUGAUUAAGUACAUAACACAUGGCCUGUCCACUUCACAUUUUCGAAGGAAAAAAGAGGAUGUGUAUGAAAGAACGGUGUGUCUUUCACUUCUUUUCACCUUUUGACAUCCCCGAUUUUCUUGCAAUCAAAAAAAUAUAUGGGACCAAGGCUUUUGGGCGGAUGUUAACAAUGGUGUUACCGGAUGUAAGGAAAGCGGAGGAAGCGCGAUGUCGCAUUGGAGACCCAGUUGGCGGCGCGUCAGAGAGUUGGAACUUCUGAAAUUGGCGCAACCAACUAGCACUCAUUCUAGUGUCAAUUCCUUUCAUCAAGAACUCAUUCGUGGCGCUGGGAAUACCGAAAGUAGCAGCAUACUCGACCUGUUGAAGGUCCUGUCGUUAUUGUCACGGAAGCUUCCAGAGGAAUCGACAAGGCAAUUGCUUUGGCUUUGGGAAAGGCUGGUUGUAAGGUCCUAGUUAACUAUGCAAUAUCUUCAAAGGACGCAGAAGAAGUUUCCAAAGAGGCUGCAGCUAAAAUCAUGAAGAAAAAGAAAAAGGGAAGAAUCAUCAACAUAUUUCCUGUGGUUGGUUUAGUUGGCAAGACACUGCUAAAACAGGAGUCAUUGUCUUAACCAAGAGUGUUGCAAAGGAAUAUGCCAGCUGGAAUAUCACUGUUAAUGAUGUUGCACCUAGAUUCAUUGCAUCGGAUAUGUCUGCCAAGCUAAGUGAAGACACUAAAGAGGAAAUUUCGCAAAGUGUUCCCUAAGGACGUUGUGGUCAACCUGAAGAAGUUGCUGGACUUGUUGAAAUCCUGGCACUCAAUCUUGCAGCCAGCUAUAUUCCUGGACAGGUUUUUAACAUCGACGGACGGAUGGUUAUGUAACAAAAUUCCACAUGUUGUUUGAUCAUAGAGAAGGAUUGAAAGGGUGAUCAUCUAUGGUAUACCCUGGUUGUAGCCUUAGACUGUGAAUUUUGUUAUUGCUUGCAUGUAGAUGCCAUGCUUCGCCUGUACUUCCUUUUGGUCAAAGCAUUCAUGUGCUUUCUAGGAAGAGUAUUGUUUUCUGCUAGAGAGAUGGAGAUUGAUAAAUCAAUGGGAUUGCUACAAUUACAUAUGAAAGUUUCUAACCCCUUAAUAUCCCUAUAUAAU